UAACAAAUAUAAUAUAUGUAAUGUCUACUUCAAUUAAACUAAAAACAUUUACAAAUUUAGUAAAGGUGAUAGAAAUUUAUUUUGAAUAAUAGAAGUACUGAGCAGGAAACGACCUUAAUUGAUUAAAUAGAAAAAAUAAACCUUUGUACCUUUUGCAUCAUGGUUUAGCUAGAUUUAUUUUUCGUAAGAAAUUUCUCGAAACCUAAUGGGCUAUUUUUAGUCGGCAAUAUUAGAUGCCUAAAAACUAAUUGUGGCAAAAAUUUUUUUAGAACUAAAAAUAGAAAUGAAAUUUUAUUCGUAUUAGGUGAUAGCUAGUUCUUUUCUAAAAGUAUAGAAGUACUGCAAAUUUUUUUGUAUCACAGGAUAUUUUACCUUUGGUAUGGAUAGAAAUUUAGUUAGGCUUUUGAGGAUAAGCUCAAAAGCAUAAUAAUAUGUAUUUUAAAUGCCAAGAAGUUAAAUUUAGGCUUGAAAAUGGCCACUAUGUAUGAUUUUGUUAUAAUUUCAUUACUCCUAUCAGCAUAAAAUCGAUUUACUUUUUAUUAAGAAGAGAAAACUUUUUAAUUGAACAAAAAGCUAAGCACAUGCUAAAAUGAGUAUCAAUUAAAUUAUAUUUUUUAUUAUCUUAAAUAUAUAAACUAAAUAAAAAAUACCAAUUAUAAAUUGUUAAAAGGAACUCGGCAAAACCCAAUUCCGCCUGUUUAUCAAAAACAUGGCUCCCUGUUUUUUCACAUAGGGAGUCGGACCUGCUCGGUGAAUAUAUUUUAACAGCCGCGGUACUCUGACCGUGCAAAGGUAGCAUAAUCAUUUGCCUUAUAAUUGAAGGCUAGUAUGAAUGGUUUGACGAGAAUUGAGCUGUCUCUUUUCAACUAAAUAUAAUUUUAUUAAUAGGUGAAGAAGCCUAUAUUUCAUUGAAAGACAAGAAGACCCUAUCGAGCUUUAAGGAAUUUAAUAGACUCGCCAUAUAUUUAUAGAAAAACGAGACUACUAAAAACUUUGGUUGGGGCGACUGAGGAACAAAUAAAGCUUCCUCUUGAUGUUAAAUAUAACUUACAGGUAUUGAUCCAAUAAAUUUGAUUAAAGGAAUUAGUUACCGUAGGGAUAACAGCAUAAUCCCCUUUGAGAGUCCUUAUCGAAAAGGGGGUUUGUGACCUCGAUGUUGGACCAGAAUACCCAGAAGAUGCAGCCGUCUUCAAUGGUUGGUCUGUUCGACCAUUAAAAUUCUACGUGAUCUGAGUUCAGACCGGCGUGAGCCAGGUCAGUUUCUAUCUUCAAUUUUGACAGUGGCCUUAGUACGAAAGGACCAGGCUACUACAAAAUAAUUUGUAGCACAUUGAUUUAAUAUAAAUAAUAAUUAAGUUGAUAAAC
rnacentral:rRNA from 1 species